UACGAAGGAUCCAAGCGUUAUCCGGAUUUAUUGGGUUUAAAGGGUGCGUAGGCGGAUUAAUAAGUCAGUGGUGAAAGCCUGCAGCUUAACUGUAGAACUGCCAUUGAUACUGUUAAUCUUGAGUACAUUUGAGGUGGGCGGAAUGUGUCAUGUAGUGGUGAAAUACUUAGAUAUGACACAGAACACCAAUUGCGAAGGCAGCUCACUAAACUGUAACUGACGCUGAGGCACGAAAGCAUGGGGAGCAAACAGG
rnacentral:rRNA from 1 species